AUAACAUAUGAAAUUUAAGAUGAGUUUUAGAGGUACAAAGUAUAACUUGCCGCACCCCGCAGGGUGCGGUCAUAUCCAACCCAGUACAAAGCAAUUGGGGCACCACUAAGAAAACAUUUAAUACUCCCUCCAAUCCAUAAUAAAUGUCGCAGCUUUGAACUUAGGUUGAACUAAUCUUAGUUCAAAAUGACGAUUGAACUAACCUUAGUUCAAAACGACGACACUUAUUUUGAUUUGGAGUAGCAACUAUAAGUCUAUAACCACCAAAAUGAGUCUGGUAUAUACUUCCACCACAAUGAGUCUCGCUGCACCCCACUUUAUACAUAUACACUAAGCAUACAUAGCUGAAAUAAAUUUAAUACACAGGAAUGUGGUUACAAUAAACAACAAAAGGAUUUGCUUGAUACUGCAAAUAUAUGGCCAGGUCCGUUUCCAUGGUAUUUUAAAUGUUAAUAUGAAAAGUGAACAAAGACUAAAAUUCACUCCAGCAAACACACAAAAAUAAUACAGAAGGAAAGAUUGAAAGCAGCCAUGGUACAACCUCCAAAAAUGAAAACCAUGCAAAUUAGCCUUUGCAAACAUUUAGAAAUAGAGGUUGUUCGAAAUAAUGUCCCAAAAUGAUAUCAAUAACCCAAAUUGUGUGACCUUGCCCACCUAAACUUCAGCAGACCGGACAAAACAUGCCAAUCGUCUUUGCCUUUCAUCAUAUCCCGAUCAUUAGCACAUCCACAUGCGAGCUUGUUAGACGACAUUAUCAUGACGCUGAUGAAGAGCCAUGUAAUUUGCUUAGAAAUGCACAAAGCAAGAGAAAUAUCAGCAUAAAUAAUAAAGAAAAAAGCAUCAAGUUACUAUCUUCAGCUAAGUACUACAAAGCACCACAAGUUAAAAGAGUCAAAUUAUAUGUGUAUUCCCUCUUAAGUUCACAACAAAUGUACCAAAACUGGAAAACAUAGGCAAAAACCAUGUCUCGAUAACGGAUCUUGAAAUAAAGAAAGAAUGGCAAGUCUAAAUUGUAUUGCAUCUGUUAUGUAUCAGGCUAUCAUACAAGAGUGGUGGUUCUGCAAACCAAUUGGUAUUUUUCAGAAGUUGUGUCUCCAUAGGAGAGAAUGUGGCUAUGAUUAUGAAAACACGUAAACAUUCUAGUUUACUGCUUAGGUGUCAUGUAAAAGCAUUCAAAAUGAAAAUGUUGAUUUGCCAACGCAAAGAAAUAUAUAGGAAUACAAGUAGAUCGACCAUGAAAAACUUCAAGUAUUGUGCUAUGAGAAUAGUACUUCUACAUAGAUGAUCUAGUGUCUCCAAUUACAGAACUGCUUAAACCAAACUCAUGAUUAUGAUUUAACAAUGAACAGAACCUUCAAGUGUUGUGCUAUGAGAAUAGCCAGUAGAGAUUUUAGAAACCAUAAAAAUCAGAUCUUUUUGUGUGCGUGCCACAUCAAUCAAGCCGGACAUAUUACAGAGCAGAUGGUGGUUAAGGAGCAUUGCCAAUUUGGCAUCUUAAAAUUCAAAGCAUGGGUAUUAUGUUGCCAGACAGGUGUAUGUAAAGCUUCAGAAAUCAGGUGUGUGUUUUAGAGCAGGGUAUCCAACAUGACUAAUAGAGUAAUCACUAAACACUAAGCUGCCCUAUCUAAGUAAUCAGGGUACCUGGCCAAGCUUAACUUAAGCCACAUGGUUGACGAUGAAAGUAAACUGCACAUAGGUGAAUGCAAGGUGGAGUGUCCUGACCUGGUAACACAAUAAGCAUAUUAUAACAGAUGAUAUGAGCAGGUAUAACUGGGAAUAUUCAGGAGACUAAUUUUUAAAAGAUCAAAUAAUAUUCUUGAUUUAGUAAUAUAAGUAAGGUAUCCGAGUAAACAUAUUAAAUAUGAAUUUUGAUGUCAAUAUUACUGUGACCAUCGUAGCACAUGAGGCACCUGCCUAGUUCUUCUGUGCAUUUCAUCAAACACAUAACAUAGGCAUGGGGGAAUGGAGUGUUGAUUAUUUGUCUAAAGUAUGAUCAGACCAAUGGUGGGAUUAGUACCAUCUAAAGCUAGAAUAUACCAAUCCAAAUGGCGAUUCCGAAGUUCUUAAUGAGAAAACUAAUUAGUUCAUCAUAGAGCAAUACAUGUAGGUUUGGGAACAAUUAGACGCACAGACAGAUUACAGACCAUUUGCAAAACCUGACAAUUAAAUCUCCCCCCUGAAUUUCACAUAGGAGGACAUCGUACUGUCAUCAUUCAAAAUGUUUGUAUCUAUAUUAUUUUGCUCAUCAUGCGUACCAUGCAUAUGUUGUUGUUCAUCCUAUAUUCAAUCACAACAAUGUGCUACCAGGAACUCAAUUAGUGCUGCAGGAAAGUACUAAAUAUUGCGAUAAAAUUACUAAAUAUCACUAAUGGCUGUACCAGCCUAAUUGACAAACCAACCUAGACUAUAUUAGUCAAUAUCUAUCCUUGAAAGUCCUGCAUUCCCCCUCCCUUUGCCCUAACAAACCUCUGUACACUUAGCAGAUAAGUCUAACCUGAAAGUAUAGUAAUCAAAGAGACCAACUUCCAACCGAGAAAUGUGUCCUCCUUUUGCUGCCAGCUCAAAAAGGACUAAUGUGCCUUUACUUUCUAUGGAUCAAGAACACUUCAACAAAUUUCCACAGUCCACAUCAAGUGCAACAAACACCUCGCUAAGAUCCAUGAAUAUGUUAAUAUUUCCUUGCACUUCUAGUCGGCCAGUGCUCAUGACGGAAUACUUGUCAAAUUUGGCAAAAGACACACUACUCUUGCACAUAAACAAAUUUGGGCAAACACGAACUCGAGUUCCGAUCAUACCCAAUAUGAACAGUUUUGAACAAAUUCUGAAAAUAAAAAUAAAUUUGAUCAGAAACAAAUUAUCAAAUUAAUCGGCAUGUUUCCAUCUCUUUAGAUUCAGUCAUAUUCAGUCAAUUUCUCCCGCAGCACAAAUAAUUGGAAGCUGAAUCACACGGGGAAUAGAACAUAAUGGGAAAUUAAUUCACUCAGAGAUGGAGAAAUGGUGGCGCUAGGCGUGCGGUACCUAGAGGCCGUGCUGGUUGAGUCCCUUGACGGCGAUGGCGGCCCUUAGCAUCGAGCAUGCGGACAAAUGUCGUGUAGACCCCGUCGAAGCCGCCCUCGUCGCCCAGAUAUGAAAUGAAAGAGCCUGCAUUCAUUGUCCAAUUAUCCUUUGACCAUCUAUGUCACUGCAUCUGACCUCUACUUGAACUAUUACUAUUGAAAACAAAAAAUACACUGCAUACGUACCAAGAACAGUAAUCCUUGAUUUUCCUUUGCAUAGCAUAAUCAGAUAUUACAAAGGACAACACAAAGCUUACAUAGACAUGAUAACCAACAGAAGUGCAUGCAUAAAUCAGAAACUAUGGAUUAAAGAUUUACCAUCAAUUAGUUGGUCACUAAGAAGGACAUAUAUGGAUGGAUUCACUUAAUAGCAGUCACCAUGUAUAUCACAUUAUCAUCUAAUCAAGAAAAUUGCUUGACAAAUCAGAGAUUUCGAGUAAUGUUUGAACAAUGGCAUAAAAAGAAAUCUGAAUCACAGGUAGGUAAACAUUGCAAGUACUACAACUGACCAUGCAUAUUUAAACUGAUUUCCUUCAUGAGAAUUUCUAGUUCAGUACCCAUGUUUUUCUAAAUUUGGCAUGUGCUUACUAACAUGACAUACCGAGCCAUGAAUCUUAUUACUGAGCUCUGGUCAGCCAAAAAAUUAGAAGCUUUAAACCAAACAUGAGAUUAGUGUAGGCAGAUCAAAUGGUAAGAGGCCAAGAUACAAAUACUUCAAUAGUGUAGUAACCUAUAUGCAUCGUAUAAACCCAAGUCAUGCUUUCUGAAUGUAUAUAUAUAAGAUACAGAGUGGCAACAGAAGAGAUGCCAUAAUAGCAUCAGUUUCUUUUUGUAAAGAACAAUGGAUUUACACAUGCUAGUAAUUAACUUGGAGGAUCAUGUACUACACUGGCAAAAAUCUAAUGAUCCAACAUCACACUAACAUAUGUCAAUCACAAUAAAAAGUAUAAAGUUUUCUCAUAAAACAUGACUCUUGCCUAAUACCUGCAAAGCACAAUCUGGAUGGAACUAACAAAACCAAUCAAGCACAUAACCGUAGCAGCCCCUAACUCCCAGUGAAUGUUUAUUGACCAAUUCUCAAUUGCAUUCUGCAAAAGACAAACAAUAAUAUCAGUUUACAACCUGCUUGGAUUUUCAUCGAAUAUUUCUCAGUUCCUAAUUCAGAAAUGAUGUGACUGGAAUUUCCAAGUCAAUGAAGCCUAAUAAUUCAUUAAUAGGAUCAUUUCAUCUCAACAACUCAUAUUAAGUGAGUGUUAAUAUUUCAGCAGCCUGGUCAUCUAUUCACCUAAACAGAGGUAGACAAAGUUAGAACCAUAGUGGGGUUGCAACAUCCAACCAAACCCUGCAGAACAGUGAAAAUAAAACAAUUAGGCGAGUAGAUAAAAGUGUUAUUUAUUAGAUCCAGCAUAUACAAGAAAACAUCCAGAGGCAAUCAAAUUAUAUUCUGAUCAUGAUCAAAGGUGCAACACAUGCCAGUAGACAGUGUUGAUGCAAUAGACAGUGAAAUUUCCAUGAAGCUGGGAGGAGAUGUUUAAAAAUGUUGUGUGUCGUUUAAACACUACCAACUUAGAGAACUGAACCUCAGCAAGAACAUGAUCCUCUCUCAGUCUCUUCCUUUUAGAACCAAAUCAAGAUAAAUCCACUACAAACAAAUUUUCUUACAGGGCAACAGAGUUUCACCUUCUAGUAUGCAGAACAAUCCUAUCACUCAGCCAGUAUUAGGUCAGCCAUGGCCACAUUUUAUCCGGUGGGGAAUUAACUUGGGAUUCAUCUAUUAGAAAUCAUAUGCAGACCAAUGAAAAUCAAUUAAAUCGUAGGAACCACAGAUCACAAAUUCUCUUGGACUGAACAAUUAGCAGACACAUCAAAACAUGUCAUGCAAUUUUGGAAGCAAGGUCUAAGAAAGAAAUUGACCAAACCGUAC
rnacentral:lncRNA from 1 species